rnacentral:lncRNA from 1 species
GUCCUAUAAAAAUAUUCAGAAUCUUUUUAGUAAAUAAUCGAUAUAGGAUUAAAUACAUGCUCGUAUGGAGAUCUUCACAUACUUUUCCCAUUUAUGCUAUGGCAUUCUUACCAGGAUAAGGAUUCAAAUCUAUACAAAUCCAUUCAUAAGCGCCAUAAUUGGCUCGUGGUCAAUACCAAUGAAUCUGUAUUGUAAUGUCUCCUAGUCUAGAUGGAUUACAAGUUGGAUCGACUCUGACAUCAUUUAUUAUGACUCAGAAGUCAGGAUC